GACAGAGCACAAAGACUGCAGAGUGGAAAAGAGAGGCCUAGGGGAUCACAAUAGAGGGUGAAUUUGAUUCCAAGUUUUCUGGGAAGCACAUGGAAGUGUUUUAAGCAAUAGACUAUCAGUGGAAUUUUAUUUUUCAAAGCUCUCUGCUGCUGGGUGCGGCUUGGGUCUGAAAAAGCAGGGGUGGAGACAGGGACUAAUGAGGCGGCUGAGCAGGAUAAUGGCGGAGGUCAGGGCGGGCGGCGGAGUCCAGGAAACCCAGGCAGUCUGAGCAUCCAUUGGAAAGGCAGUUAGCGUUCCUUACUCAUGUGUUAGGUGUGGCUGUCAACACCAGUGUUUUGGCUUGAGAACUGCGAAGACGGUGGUGCCCUUCACUGACUGGAGGGGGAAUGGACCGGCACAUGGAGGCCCUCACCCUUCUCUGUCUAAGCCCAUGGCCCCUGUCUCACCAGCAUGCAGAGGCCAGGCGGAGGGAGCUCAGAGAACACAGAAUGGAGAAGGGGGUCCAGUGGAAAUCACAGGCUGGUUUCCCGAGAUGGGACUAAAAACGGAGGACAUCUCACCUGAGGAGGAGUGAACGCCAGCCACAGGAACGCUAGAGCCUACACAGAUGGCCAGCGGAUUUGCACAGCCUCCUCCACUCACAGGCAGCCAAGGCCCUGACAUCUUGGAAACACUCAGAACAGCAUCUCAGCUCACCAGGAGGGAUAAUGUAAGUGACAGUAGGUGACCCGAGAGCUCUGCACAAAUUAUAGCUGGUGUGUGAACCCAACUUAGACUCUUGCACAUAGUCGGUGCUCAGAAAUCUCUGCUAAAAGGAAGGACAGGAUGGAGGGACGGAGGGAGAGAAAUUCGAGACCGGUGCCCAUCUGGACACUGGAUUGCUGCUGGGAUGUGGACAAAGCCUUUACCUACCUGAGCUUUCCCGCUUUUCCCCUUGUACCUGCAAACGAAAUUCUACUUGCUCAUGCUUCUUAUAAGGAAUAAAUGAAACAUGUGCAAAGCACAUUAGGCAGCUGAGUGUCUCAUUGCAGGUCUACAUAUCUGAAUUCUCUAGGCCAUCAAGGCCAUCCUGGAAGAAGGGAGGACUCAAUGCCUUCAGAAACAACUUGCCCACCCUCCCCUCUGUACAUGAACUUCCUUUUUACAUCAACCCUUAAUGCUAUAAGGUUCUGUACAAAUUAAUAAAGAUUUAUGGUCAGCUAGCUUGAUGAAUCUACUGAGCCCAGUGAAGAGAGUUAUGUCCACGGCAGGUGAACAGGUGGGGUGAAGUCACAUCAGACUCUGGAGGUUCCAGGCAGAC